rnacentral:lncRNA from 1 species
AGCAGAGGAGAAGAAGCAAUAAUAGGAAUGCCAGUUAGAUGGGAGCUUUGGAUGUGCAGUUGUAAGAGCAGCAUGAUUCUUCAUUUCAGAGCAACUGGAUGCGUGAGUUAGGACACCAGGAAAUGUCUUCUAGUUUGGAAGAGAGAACUUAUCCCAGCAUACCAUUUUGAACCCUUGCUCUACUUGUUUUUUACUUCUCCAGUUAGUUCGAAUGGUGGGAGACUUACUGCCUUGAAUAAAUUUAUGCAUUGGAUUUACUAGUUGAUUUGCACCGGUUAUCAGUCGGCCGGGACACGAUUUGGCGUUGAGUUAAUCAUCAUGUUGGAAGUUGAGUG